CCCAACCUGGAGUCCCGAGUGGCAGGGGCGCAGGAUGCUGGGGGGCGCGCAGGCGGCCCCCGCCACCGGCCUUCCAGACCCAGCGCAGAGCAAGACCUUGCUGUGCUGGAAGGAGGUGGAAGAGGCACUGUACUCGGUCGCUGGGGCCGCUGCCUAAAUCAACAUGCCUGAACCAAAGCUGCCCCAGCUCAGGGAGGUGGCCUGGCCUUGGCACAGCAAAUAAUGGAAAGACACGUACCCUGACCAGUAGACAGAGUUCCUGAGGAACUUGCCCCAACUUCCUUGCAAAGAAAGCCAGGCUGCAUGGGAAAGCACAUGGCUACUGUGAUGAGCUUACAAUGGAACAAUAGUCACUCGGGGGGAAAACCUAUGUUCCAGCUUCAGGGGGAGCAGAGCUGGCCAGAAAGGCAGCAGCCCCGGCAGGAGCAGUAGGAGCCCCCAGCAGAGCAGCCGCCAUGCGGCAGCCAGCGAGGCAGGGGGUUGGCCACCGCUUCCCGAGCCACCGCUAAAGACAAGGAGUCACAUGAGACCUCCAGAAUUCGAGGGGAUGAUGCUGAGGGACAUCAAAGGCUGUGUGUCCCAAGAUGACCUGGAGGCUGAGUGACCACCUGCCCAUGAGCCAGAAUCACGCUGCAGGAUGGGUGGAGAAGCGACAAGAAUCAGCCUCCACCGGUGGGCAGACUGCUCCCUCCCAGAAGACAGAAGUUCACGUGCAUGGAUGACCCUUGGCCUUAAAGCCUGGAAAACCAAGCUGCCAGGACCACCGGAGAGCGGGGUGGCUCCAAGGAGAAGAGCCCGGGCCACUGCCUCACCCUCAGCCUGGUCCUCACCCUCACCAGGGCCACUCUGAUCACGGGUGUCCACUGGGCCAGCACUGAAGUACACUGUCCCUUGGUGAGAGGAAAAGCCACAGGACCCAGCUUUCCUCCCCCCUUCCUCCUCUCCCCGCUCCACCGUGGUUACUGGCAACACCCUGCCUUCCCCACUCCUGGGACUGGGGCAGCCCUUUCCUCUUCCACCCACCUUCCUCCCCACUCCUACCCCCAUCCACUACACACUUCUCCCUGGUACCAUGUCACCUGACAACUCAGUAUGACCUCGGGUCUACUCAAGUCGCACAGCCUCCUGCACACACUCCCUACGCUGAGGCGAGCGUGACAUGUGAGCGCGUGUGUCCCUCCGAGCCCCAGGCUCCACACCACCUACAGACACCCAGGAGUCGGGAGACUCCCGGAGGCCCCAAGCAGCGAAUGGGUUGGGGACUCCAAGCAGGUGACCCUGGCCCCUCUGCCCAGCCUCUGCUUCUUUCACAGAACCCUCCACAUCCUUGGGGGGUCUGCUGGGGUGUAGGGUCCUCCGACCUCUGGGGACAGACACCAUGGUGCUAAGGAGUUAGGGGAGGCCCCCCAGCCUCCACUACCACCUCAAAAGGAUGCCACUCUCCUCCCUUCCCCGAUGCUUGUCACUUAAAGGGACACGUGGAUGAGACAGGGAAAGACUGAUGUGGAGUGUGGUAACGAGGUGACUUGGUUUUUUCAUCUGUCAAGCCAAGGGCUGUUCUCUCGCUAGGCUCCUCUUUGUAGCUGUCAAAGGCUGCCACUCUGGGGGGUUGCUUCUGCAGGAGCGACCAGCAGCUGUGUCCCCAAUAGGAAGAGGCAGGUGUGCCAGCACCCCUGUGCCUCUCUGCCCUCCUCCCAGGA